UCUAAUAUGACAGAUAAGUGUAAAGGAUUUAAGACCCUUAAAUAAAGAAUUUGAUUCUUUUAUUAGAA
rnacentral:tRNA from 1 species